rfam:Homo sapiens chromosome 19, GRCh38 reference primary assembly.
GCCGGGCAUGGUGGCGCGUGCCUGUAAUCCCAGCUACUUGGGAGGCUGAGGCAGAAGAAUCACUUGAACCCAGGAGGCGGAAGUUGCAGUGAGCUGAGAUUGCAUCAUUGCACUCCAGCCUGGGUGACAGAGCAAGACUCUGUCUCAA